rnacentral:rRNA from 1 species
GGAAGGAUCAUUAUCAGAAAGUAAACGCGGGUCAAACCGCAACUUCUAAACCUUUGACGAUUGACUCAUGUUGCCUCGGCGGUUUCGCCGCCAGAGSAUACAUCAAAACUCCUGUUUAACGGUGUUGUCUGAGCUACAAGCAACGAAUCAAAACUUUCAACAACGGAUCUCUUGGUUCUGGCAUCGAUGAAGAACGCAGCGAAAUGCGAUAAGUAGUGUGAAUUGCAGAAUUCAGUGAAUCAUCGAAUCUUUGAACGCACAUUGCGCCCCUUGGUAUCCCGAGGGGCAUGCCUGUUCGAGCGUCAUUUCACCACUCAAGCCUGGCUUGGUGUUGGGCGACGUCCCCUUUGGACGCGCCUCGAAACGCUCGGCGGCGUGGCACCGGCUUUAAGCGUAGAGAAUCUUUCGCUUUGAAAGUCGGGGCCCCGUUUGCCGGAAGACCUACUCGCAAGGUUGACCUCGGAUCAGGUAGGGAUACCCGCUGAACUUAAGCAUAUCAAUAAGCGGAGGAAAAGAAACCAACAGGGAUUGCCUCAGUAACGGCGAGUGAAGCGGCAACAGCUCAAAUUUGAAAUCUGGCUCUUUCAGGGCCCGAGUUGUAAUUUGUAGAGGAUGCUUCGGCGUCGGCUCCGGUCUAAGUUCCUUGGAACAGGACGUCAUAGAGGGUGAGAAUCCCGUAUGUGAUCGGUUGCCUUUG